rnacentral:rRNA from 1 species
UACGUAGGGGGCAAGCGUUGUCCGGAAUCAUUGGGCGUAAAGCGCGCGUAGGCGGCUCGAUCAGUCUGCUGUGAAAGUCAAAGGCUCAACCUUUGAAUGCCGGUGGAUACUGUCGAGCUAGAGUCCGGAAGAGGCGAGUGGAAUUCCUGGUGUAGCGGUGGAAUGCGUAGAGAUGUGGAGGAACACCAGUGGCGAAGGCGACUCUCUGGACUGUAACUGACGCUGAGGCGCGAAAGCGUGGGGAGCAAACAGG